rnacentral:lncRNA from 1 species
UCCUGCCCCCAGCAGUGACUACCGGCAACUGCAAGGAGCUGUGGCUGUGCAACAAGCUGGUGGCACUGCUGGCCACGCUGGAGGAAGCCCAGGAGGGCACGGAGUUUGCCCACAUGGCCCUAGCACUCAGCAUCACUCUGGGGGACUGGCUGAAUGAGUGCAUGGCCUACCACCGGCUGGCCGCCCUGCACCAACGGCUGGGCGACGGCGAGCUGGCGGAGCACUUCUACCUCAAGGCCCUGUCGCUCUGCAACGCUGGAGUUCGACCAGGAGACCCUCUACUACCUGAAGGUUUACCUGAUGUUCGGCGACAUCAUCUACGACCUGAAGCAGCUGCUGCCUGGCUGGCCGACUGCAGAAGAAGAGUCUCUGGUACUCCCGGUGGGCCCUCGGGAAAAGCGUGAGCACCACGAUCAAGUCUCAGGACGCCGCACACGUUAGGGUCGCCCACAGACCGCCAUUCCCAAUGCCUAGAAGGCACUGAAGGGGCCUCCUGCUCUUUGUAAAUGUCAACUCUCCUAAGCUAUGCUGUGUAGAAAAUUUUUAACUGCAGUCCACACAUACUUUCUUCCUGUCUUGUUUUUAUCCUAGAGGCAUAUUGUUAUGGAAAAUUAAGUUUGCAAGGUUGAAGGGUUUUCUGAAAGUCGACUUCUAAUCCUGGAAGAAAAAAAAAAAUGGGCCAGAUGUGGUGCUCACGCCUGUAAUCCCAGCAGUUUGGGAGGCUGAGGCAGAUCGCUUGAGCCCAGGAGCUCGAGACCAGCCUGGAAAACAUGGCAAAACCCUGUCUCUACUAAAAAUACAAAAAAAAAAAAAAAAAUUAGCUGGGCGUGGUGUGUCUAUUCCCAGCUACUCAGGAAGCUGAGGUGGGAGGAUCACCUGAGCCCAGGAGGUGAAGGCUGCAGUCAGCCUAGAUUUGCAUCACUGCACUCCAGCUUGGGUGACACAGUGAGACCCGUCUCAAAAACAAAAGCAAAACAACUGUAUAAAAAUCAUUACACAAGGGAGCUGGCUGGGCACGGUGGCUCACGCCUGUAAUCCCAGCACUUUGGGAGGUCGGGGUGGGCAGAUCACCUGAAGUCAGGAGUUUAAGACCAGCCUGGCCAAUAUGGCAAAACUCCAUCUCUAAUAAAAAUACAAAAAUUAGCUGGGCGUGGUGGCGGGUGCCUGUAGUCCCAGCUACUCAGGAGGCUGAGAGAGGAGAAUCACUUCAACCCGGGAAGCAGAAAUUGCAGUGGGCCGAGAUUGUGCCAUUGCACUCCAGCCUGGGCAACGAGCAAGAGUCCACUUCAAAAAUAAAAAUAAAAUGGAAAUAAAAGGGAGCUAAUGUUUUCCAUUUAAGGGAAGGGAGAAUAACAUUCAGUAUUUAUACAUCUCACACACACAUCUGCAGUGGUAGCCUCAAGUAUUCAAGAUACACAUUCCCACAAAUAUAGUUCAAAACUACCCACCAAGUUACACGCUAAGAGCACAUGCAUUGUAAGAAUGCUACAUUAUAUUUUUUAAAAGCAUCUGUAUCCAAUAUUUUAGCAUACUGGCAGUUUUCCCUUCAGGUGCUGUAUGCCUAAAUUAUUACAUGUUUAGUCAUUCAUUUUAGAAUUUAUGGCCUCCUUUAGACAAAAGAAAUAUAUUUAAACAUAAGCUACUAAAUUAAUGACUUAGGGGAAAAAUUACUAAAUUAACUUGGAAGUUAAACUUUGCAAACUGAAUUUGUUGGACCUCAUGUAAGCUAGACGAUCAGUUUUUUAAAUUGUUGUGUGUUUCCCUCAAGGAUGGAAGUCUCCUCUUGUCUCUCAUCCACUGUGCACACCACUGCAGCCCGCACCUGUCCUCCACGGCGCCACAGUGCGGCCUGCAAUUCACCCUGUACCACGCCUUCCACACCUUACCUGAAAGUCACUAAGUAUAACCAAGAAGGCAAUGAAAAGCAGAUAAAUGACCUCCACCCCCACAUCCAGCAUGCAAAUGUUAAACAUUCAUCAAAGUAAAACCAAAACCAAAACCAAAACCCAUGUUAGCUCA